rnacentral:lncRNA from 1 species
UGGCGGGGUUCUCGCCGGUCCUGCGGGUCGCUGCUUGGCUGUGGGUUAGCAGCACCCUGAGCGGAGCGGAAGAGCUGCCCGCCGCCGCGUAACCCCGAGGCCGAGACUCCUGGCCUGGCCUCCUUGGGCCCACGACGCCUGCCCCGCGGAGCGGACCCAUGGGCCUGAGGUUUGUGUGCGGGGCCUCAGGCGAGCGCUGGCGCAGCCUGUCCCCCAUCGUCUGCGCCCUGCGGGCCUGGCCCUCCCCGUGGAAGGACCGCGGGCUUCGGGGCCCCACGCUGGGGGGCUGACUCCUGCCACACACACAGCGGUGGCCGCGGGCCUGGGGCGGCAGCACAGCCAUUCUGCUCGGGCUGCGUGAGCUGACCCCGCUCUCUGUGCACCUACUUUUGCUGCGUUUGGUGCUGAGCCUGAAGUCCCAGGACAGGCGGCUGAGGGGGAAAGAUGGUGUGAAUUGGGUGGGCAGAGACAACUGAAAGCCACAGGACCCGGUUGGCACCUUUUUGGCCGCCUGCGCCUUUGCCUGCAGCCCCGCUCCCUGGGUCACCCGAAGGAGGAGCUGGCGCUCUUUCCGGGCGCAGAAGCACCCGACCCACGCUGGAGGAAACGGUCCCUCUGGGCAGGAGAAGCUUUGGGCCUGGCUGGAGCACACUCACGGAACCACGCCAACGCCUGGCCUGUAGCCAGCUCCCACCUCCCCUCCCACCUUCUAAAAUGCUUGCGGAUCUCACGUGGCCGACCCUAACCAGAUACACAUGGGGAAAGGAAUCAGGUGGCACACAUACCGCCUUUACUCCAUAGAGAACUUCCAAUUGUGGGUAAGAACAAAGCCCCACCUCUUCCUAAUAGAUGCAGUUUUCCACCUGCAGCCAAAAAGACAACCUGUUAUUAGCUUUUUUCCCAGAGGACAGGCAUCUCUAUGAAACUGCCAUUGCAAAAUUUGCCGACAGUGAGAUAACCAGCUCCAUUUUGCUUCUAACCUCCAUGCCCUCCUUGUUUACUGCUGCACGCAGGUUGAACUGUGGGAGGAACUUAGUUUAAAACAAAGAUGAUAACAGCCCUUUCCCAAAGGAAACCUUUCCUGGGGAUUAGCCUGCUUUUGUGGGACCAACAGAUUAGCCACAAGAUUAGAAACUACGGUUGAAGAGUCACGCAGCGGGAGGCUACAGGAUUCUGACCCUCCCCAAACUGCUCCUGGCGAUAACAUCACCAUCGUAAAGCCUAAGAUCAGCACUUGGUGGGUCACCUGGCACCACCCAGGCUCAUCUGAUGUUGUGGCACCCAGGAACUGACUCAGUGCGAAAACAGCUUCGACUCCCUGUGAUUUCAUCUCUGACCUGACCAAUGGGUACUUCUGACUCACUGGCUGCCCCCCACCCACCAGCUUAUCUUUAAAAACUCCAAACCCCAGAUGCUCAGGGAGACCGAGUAAUAAUAAAACUCCAGUCUCCCACACAGCUAGCUCUGCGUGAAUUACCUUUUCUCUGUUGCAAAUGCCCUUUCUUGAUAAAUUGGCUGUCUAGGUAACAGGGAAGGUGAACCCACUGGGCAGUUACACUUUUAUCCACCCUUCCAGCUGGAUCACGCGCCCUCUUCAAUGACAUGACACGCAGCUAGAGUGUAUGAGCUUGCUGCCGGCACCUUCCGUCCUGGAUCGCAUAGCAAGGCCUCAAUGGACAGCCAGGUGCCUGGUCCGGUCCCACUUUUUUUUCUGUCCUGUUCUCGUUUCCUCUUUGCUUGGCCAAAGAGGGUUGGGCCAGGGUCCUGAGUGCAAAGGCUUGGCUUGGUGAAUUAAAGUGGCAGUAGCCGUGUGGCAGAGAAAAUUUGUAGAUGGGUGAAAUCCUGGGCCUACACAGUGACAAAGUGUAUAUAGACAGCCAGCCUAGUUGGUGGAUGUGACAACCCCAGACUCUUCUAGAUUUGUGGAUCCGUGCACCUGCCAGACCUGUCUCUGAGCCAUCUGGGGAGGCUGGGUCGGCACAGACGCAACCCAGUCUCCUCCCACCUCCGAGAGUGCAGUGUCCUGAAUGGAGAACCCCAGCACCCAGAAGCAUCCACUGAAGGACUAAAUUCUACACAUGAAGGCAAACGUCCGUGGUUGACAGAAAUUACACUGGCCAGAAUCCCCAGUCCCCAUGAGGCUUGUCCAGACGCAGUGAACCAGUCGCAGCUGAUAACACACAGACCAUUCCCGAUCCCAGAGGUGCAUUUCAGGAUUCAUUCUAUUUCAUCAGAGACGGGGUCUUCCUGUGUUGCCCAGGCUGGUCUCGAACUCCUGGGCUGAAGCAAUCUUCCUGCCUUGGCCUCCCAGAGGGUUGGAAUUGCAGAUGUGAGGUACUUCUUUGAUAGUGCCUCCAUGCAUGCAGAAGAUGACGUGGAGAGCUCCGCGCGGCACAGGGCAGGAAGCUGGUGUGCACUCUCAUGGAUCCGAAGCCAACACACGCCUCUCAACUGAGGACUCUGCCCCUCUGGCAUUCUUCCAGCCACCAGCCCUGGGGGCCAGGAGCCACUGAGUGGGUCACACAGCCUUAGAGGGCAACGAGGGCAGGAGCUCGCCCUGGCGGUCCCCAUGCAGACAAGAGGGUCACUGGCUUCCUUGCUUUGCUCUUCCUGGACAUCUUCCUCGACAUUCAUCUUUCCAUCCUACCAAGAGCGUGGAAACCACAGGGCAUGAGGACAGGCGGAGACAACGCUGGACCAUCUCACAGCCACAUCAAGAGGCUGCCCACAUCAGGGCUUUCUACGUGGUUGCAAGGAACACAAACCUGUGUGCUCCAUUUGCCCACUGGCACUAGGCCUCCUGCCCACCACCCGCUUCUAGGCUAUUCGAGCCGCAGGAGCUACAGGCUGCUAGAGAACCCUGCGGCAGGAUGCUGGGCGCGGUUCAGCUUUUGCCAGGGAGCAGCAUGGGACUGGGAUUUGGAAGGUGUACAGUGGCUGCGGGCUUUAGCAGGAGGAGUGUCUACAGCACCUUCUGCUCCUCCAGAAAUAAGGAAACUGAGGCACAGCUAUAAAGCAAUGUCCUGAGACUGGCACCUGGGGGCUGCCCUCUUCCUGCCAGACUGAGUGCCUCAGAGUGCUACAACUGACCAGAGGGGAGAAGCCAACUGAGGCAGCCUGUUUACUUCUAAGGGACUAACCCACAUGAAAAGACCCAGGCCUCCUGCGCCGGCCUCACGGCCCCUACACGCGUUAUCAAGCUUGGAGUCAACUGGACGACCUGCUGUCCCUCAGACAGCUGUGAGUGCCACACUUCACCAUACCGGGACAAUGUGCCUUUGCAUGUGUGUCCUCUGCCCACCCUGGGCCCAUGAACAGCUCACUCCCCUUGCAAAACUUGACUGUAACUCCCUCUAGAAGAAUUUUUGGACUUUCCUAACUAUUACACUUUUUCCUGACCGGGAUCUCCUAAGGCACUCAGGUUCCAUCUUUGAUUUCUUCAAAUAUUUGUGUUUCUUCCAAGGGCCAAGCAUUGGAGAUCCAAAAAGGAGCAGCAAUUCCCGUCCCCGUCCCAGGCCUUCAGCACAGGGCAGGGAGGUGGAUCUGCUCAAUACCAGAAGUUUGAGCAACCUGUCCUAUUUGGGUUACAUAGCUUGGGUGGUGAACCUGAGCUGGCCCUUUAGAGACUUUCGGAGGUAAGGCAGACCUUUUGGACAAACUGAGUUGCAAGAGGCGAAGCAAGGACAACAGCCAGACUGUGCGGGACUCGAACGACAAGCCAAGAAGGUUAAGAAUAACAGUAUUUAGAGAACACUUGCUGUGUGCUCUAUGUGCUAUCUUACUUAAUUCUCACAAACCAC